AAUAAUUGACUAGAGCACCGACACGGUUAGUUGGAGAUGCAGGUUUCAUCACCGCUGGAACGGUCGAUUUUUAAUAUGAUAUUAAAAA